UACAGAGGUCUCAAGCGUUGUUCGGAUUCAUUGGGCGUAAAGGGUGCGUAGGUGGCGCCAUAAGUCGGGUGUGAAAUCUCGGGGCUUAACUCCGAAACUGCAUUCGAUACUGUGGUGCUUGAGGACUGGAGAGGAGACUGGAAUUCCCAGUGUAGCGGUGAAAUGCGUAGAUAUUGGGAGGAACACCAGUGGCGAAGGCGGCUCACUGGACCGGUACUGACGCUGAUGCGCGAAAGCGUGGGGAGCAAACGGG
rnacentral:rRNA from 1 species